rnacentral:ncRNA from 1 species
CUUAUCCAGAGUGGCGGAGGGACCGGCCCGAUGAACCCACGGCAACCUGCACUGCAAGGUGCCAAUUCCGGCGGAAACGCAAGAUGA